GAUGUUCAAAGAAGGAAAAUAAACAUUUAGCUCAAUACUUGUAGUGAAGCGUCUAAAGAUUCACAUGGUGAUAAAGUACUCAAUCUUAAUCUACUAGGGAUAUAAAAAAUGCAUGAGGAAUAAAACACAACAGGAUCUGGGGAAUAGACAUAGGUUCAAAUUUUCAACAAUUAGACAUUUUCAAGUAGUAUUUGUCUGACUGACCGGACACUUUGGCAUUGCAACGAUAUGAAGGUCCUAAUGUCCAUACUUCUGGAACUCCCAUUCACUGUUAUCCAAUGGA
rnacentral:misc_RNA from 1 species